rnacentral:rRNA from 1 species
CCCCAAAUCAUGGCUAAGUGGGAAAGGAUGUGGGAGCGCAUAGACAACCAGGAAGUUGGCUUAGAAGCAGCCAUCUUUUAAAAGAAAGCGUAACAGCUCACUGGUCAAGCGCGCCUGCGCCGAAAAUGUAACGGGGCUCAAGCCAUGUGCCGAAGCUUAGGGCAUCGUAUGAUGCGGUAGCGGAGCGUUCCGUAAGCCUGUGAAGGUCACUUGUGAAGGUGGCUGGAGGUAUCGGAAGUGAGAAUGCUGACAUGAGUAGCGACAAACAGAGUGAAAGACUCUGUCGCCGAAAGACCAAGGGUUCCUGCGUAAAGCUAAUCUGCGCAGGGUUAGCCGGCCCCUAAGGCGAGGCGGAAACGCGUAGUCGAUGGGAACCACGUUAAUAUUCGUGGGCCAGUGGAUGGUGACGGAUGACGAAAGUCGUUGGGGCUUAUUGGAUUGUCCCAGCGGCCUGGUUGUUCCAGGAAUAGCUCCACAUUAGACCGUACCCGAAACCGACACAGGUGGUCAGGUAGAGUAUACC